rnacentral:rRNA from 1 species
UACGGGGGGGGGCAAGCGUUGUUCGGAAUCACUGGGCGUAAAGGGAGUCUAGGCGGUUUGGUAAGUGGGAUGUGAAAUCCCCGGGCUCAACCCGGGAACUGCGUCCGAUACUGGAAGGCUUGAAUCCGGGAGAGGGAUGCGGAAUUCCAGGUGUAGCGGUGAAAUGCGUAGAUAUCUGGAGGAACACCGGUGGCGAAGGCGGCAUCCUGGACCGGCAUUGACGCUGAGGCGCGAAAGCCAGGGGAGCAAAGCGGG